rnacentral:rRNA from 1 species
AUUGAACGCUAGCGGGAUGCUUUACACAUGCAAGUCGAACGAGUGGCGGACGGGUGAGUAAUAUAUCGGAAAGUGCCCAGUAGCGGGGGAUAACUACUCGAAAGAGUGGCUAAUACCGCAUACUAUUGGAGGUGCCGUUUUCGGAUUAGCUAGUUGGCGGGGUAAAGGCACACCAAGGCAACGAUCCGUAGCUGGUUUGAGAGGACGACCGACCUCACUGUGACUGAGUCACCGCCCGGACUCCAACGAUAGGAGGCAGGGGGGAAUUUUGGACAAUUGUGCAAACCCUGUUCCAGCCAGUCCGCGUGUAUGAGAAGGCCUUCGUGUUGUAGAUGACUUGUUGCAGAGAAGCGGUAUCUGCUGAAUAAGCACCAGCUAACUACGUGCCGGCCGCCGCGGUAAUAC